UUGGAUUGCACCACGUAUCUUAUAUUAAUAUAUAGUAAUUGACUUGUUCUCUAUUCGGAGGUUGUUUCUCCAAAUAUGGAUUCUUGGAACAAAUAAAUUGAUUGAUUGAAGUAGGUAGCACUCCUGCUCUGUGGGAGGUCUCUGGUCCAAAUCUGAACACAGAAACCAACUAGUCUGAAGUAAGCUUUUUUUGUGGUUUUUGUAUGUUCCACAGGCAAAUUCCGGGAUUUUACUUUGAUUAGGCCAUGACCACUUCCAGAUCUUUUCCAAAUUUACCCAUUUCCACACACUGUAGCCAGAGAUACUGAUACUAUCGUAAAUUACAGCACAAAAAAAUUGCAAGCUUUGGCAUCUUAAAUACAAUGAUGUCAUGUUUCAGAUGAGCACAUUCAAAAUGGUGAGGGAAAUCAUUUACAUUUGAAUAUAUGUACAUAAAAAUCUACACAGAAUGGUUAGAAUUCCUUUGCAUUUUGGAGGUCCCAGGGGCUUGAGGGCCAGUUACAGGGAUAGCUUUACUUUUUUAGGUUCAAAUGUUUGCCAGGACAUGGCCUAUCCUAAUGAUCCUAUGAAUGUAUAAGGGGUGGGCCUUCUUGUCCCUUGCACUGCAACCACGGUGAUCUAGUGAUCCUAACAUUAUUUUUCAUCUUUCUCGCAUACUCCAGGACACAUGGUUGGAUACAUGAAAUUAGGCCACUAUUUGCUAUUGGAAGCUAUAUAAUUACGCCUACCGAAAUCAUCGUUAUCUAAACCAUGUGGGAUUUGAGGUUCUCAUAACGAGUUCUGUCAUCAUGUGGUUUAUAGCGCCGUGAAGUCCGCAUAUGAACCGACGUUGCGGAGGAACAAUACCACCAUCUUCAGGGUCGAAAAUCAGCUGAGCAAGAAACCAGCCAGCACAGGUGAUUUCUUGCUCGGCUGAUUUUCGACCCUGAAGAUGGAGGUGAUACGUUCCUCCGAAACGUCGGUUCAUAUGCGGACUACACGGCGCUGUAAACCUCAAGAUGACAAUAUUCAUAAAUACAUCAUCACAAUGUACGUAAUGAGCGUAAUGAGGGUUGUAUUCGCAAUGCAAUACAAGAAACCUUACGAAAACAAUUCUUUUUCCCACUGUAAAUUGGAUACCCUGAUACCAAAUUCGGCUGUCAUUUGUUUGGUUUUUUAUGUUGUUGACAUUUGUUGCCGUAAUAUUUGCGCGAAUGCGAAGUAGAGAAAAUAUUAAUAUUUAGUUUCUUCUUCUCUAACGCGGAAUGAUGCAAAAUGUCGAUGUUACCCAAGGCGUCUUAGUAUUUAAUGUUGUGCAUUUUUAAUUUUAUUAUGGAAGAAGAACGUGAACAUAAUGCACUAGAAUCGGAGGCGCAAACUCAAAGCGGGGUUACGAUGAAAGUUAACGAGUCUCAGCAUGGAAAAAUGUCGCAGUUUCGUUCAGUACAAGUAGACACGGAAGGCAGUACGGCUAAGAAUGAUUAUUCCGCAAAUGAGGCAAUAUCCUGUCAUUGCUUGAUCUGUAAUGUUGCUGUGUGUGACAUCGCUGAAUCUUCACACAAUGUAUUUGGUCAGCUUAAAACAUCUGAUUCAUCAAGAGUCUCAGUAUUUGAGAAGGUGGGUCAGGUACUAAACAGAAAUCUUCAUAGCAUCAAUCUUCAUAGUGAGGUGGUUUGUGGUCGAUGUUUUAAUCUUUUAAUAGAAUAUGAGGAGACAAAAUGCAAACUGCAGACAAUACGUCUGGAUCUGCUAACAAAGUUUGAGACUACAGCAAACAAACAUCAGACAGCUGUAACAGAAGUGUCACGGAAACCAGCAGAGUUGGAGGAUAAUAGUCAUAAAAGUGAUGACAACCAAACUGUUGAAUGUAGUGACAUGACAUUGUUAGUUAUAACAGAUGAAGGUAAAGUUGUUGAUAGAAAUGGAAAGGAGAAAGACACACGAGUGAAAAGUAGAAGAGUUAGAACUAAAAGAAAUGCAAGCCUUACAAGUGUUGGCAAACCAAAACCAUAUGUAUGUACAGUGUGUGGUAAAGGUUUUCGUGCAUUCAGCCACAGAGUGGAACAUAUGUUAAUCCACCUUGGUGAAAAACCAUGGAGUUGCGGGGAAUGUAAGAAAGCAUUUCGUACAAAAAGUGCAUUGAGAGUGCACUGCACAAAGCAUUCUGGAGAUCGGCCUUACACCUGUCAGCAGUGUGGGAAAUCAUUUCUUGACCGAUAUUAUUUUGAGGAACACUGCCGUAUCCAUUCAGGAGAAAGACCAUUUGUUUGUACUUACUGUCAGCGGCCAUUUGCAAGGAAAAAGGACCUUGCUAUUCACACAAAGAAUCAUACAGGUGACAAGCCCCACAAAUGUACAUUUUGCUCCAAGACGUUUGCUGUCAAGUCACGUCUUGAUAGACAUAGUCGUAUACACUCUGGGGAAAAGCCCCAUCAUUGUGAAUAUUGUGAUAAGUCAUUUGCUCGGCGUGAUGACUACAAAGUACACGUGCGUCUGCACACUGGGGAACGUCCAUUCCAUUGUGCAGUGUGUAGCAGAACAUUCACCAACCAAUCAAACUGUUUGGUGCAUGUACGGAUACACGAAGGUUCCAAACAGCAGUACUCAUGUCCACUGUGUAACCAGACCUUUGAUCGGCGUAGCAAGGUUGAUAGACACAUAACCGUUCAUCACAGUAAUGUAUCAAAUAAGCAAGCAUCAGAAAUCAAUGCAGAAGGUCCAAUAGUACCAUCUGCAAUUCAAGUCUUGGAUGCCCAAAUCCAAAAUCUGGCUCCUCUUUCACUUCAACAUUUGGGCCAAGUCCAAGUUGAGUCAGUGGACACUCCAGCUUUAUCUCACCCAGAUAGUGUCAACGAAACUAUUUCACAGUCCUUGCUUCAUACAGAAACCUUGCAGAAUCUGACUGUUACAGAUCUUCACACUCUCCAGACAUUACCAGUAACUCAGGUAGCACAGCUGGAAUGGAGUGAUGGUACAACAGCUGGUACAACCACAACUUAUGUUAACAUUGCACCAGGAACUUACGUUAACAUUGUAAAUUGACUGUAGUAAAAAAUAGUCUCCAAGUGAGAGGACGGGAAUAUAUGCACUUCAGUGGAGAUAAACUUGUAUGAUGUAACAGCAGAGGACCUGCGUUAGGCAACCAUUCCCCAUGGUGAUGUAACAGCAAAGGAGCUGCUGCUGCUGCUAGGUAACGGGCCAGUAAACACUCCCCCCCCACCGUGAUUUAAUAGUGGACGCUGUGUUGUGCCACGACAGCCGUGGAAGCUGCCAGCCAGUGUACAGUGGUGCGCCGACAGAAGACAGUGUGUGUUGUGCCGAGACAGAGAGCCGUGGAAGCCGCUAGCCAGUGUACAGUGGUGUGCUGACACAAGACAGUGGAAGCCGCGUGGAGAACAGAACAGUUCUACAGUAUAGUGAGAGUUGUUAAUGCAAAAGGAGAGACUGUGAAACGACUUGUUCAACAUUUUGUGUUAUAGUUACUUGAAUUGUAGUUACGGCAUUGACUAAUAAAGUGACGAUGCAAGAAUAUGCCCCUCGAGGUCUUGUUCCAUGACAUUUUUUUGGUGCCAAAACCCAGGAGAGGGAUACAUACGAUACAUUUAGACUCCAAGACUUCAAGGGAAAGGAGAAGACUGAUGCCAAUGGUCGCUGAUUUUAACUUCGAUCUGUCGAUAUUCAUGACUUCUGACUUUCAACAGACCCCAUACAGAUGAUCAAUUAGCUUGUGAGAUUGUACUUGGAGAUACCCUCACAACUCGACAUGGUGGACAGCGAACUUGGAAGACUAAAGAGGAAGCACUCCAUGGCAAGGGCAAAAGUGACAAGGUUCAGUACCCUUAUAAUGGAAUUCACUGCCAGCACCCCACUUGUGGAUCAUGAGUACUACUGAGACUGUCUACGGAAGACCCUGGAUCAACUACUUUCAUUGUAUAACGAUAUACAGGAUCCUUUAAAUGACAAUGAAUACUCGAUUGAUGUGGAGGUGGCUGAAGACUACAUCGCUGUAUGCGAGCAGGCACUUUUGAAAGCCAAAUGAGAGAUUGAGAAGAGGCCCGUCUCGACAGGAGAGAAGCCUAACUGUAAAAGAAAGACGGAGUGGAUGCAGCUCCUUGAGAAACUAAAGGCCAAAGAAGAAAUGCUGGCAAAAUUGGACGCCGAUAGGAAGGCCUGUCGAGAAGAGAUGGUAGCCAGCCUAAAAGAGGUGGCCACCAGCCAGGGGAAAUGGAGGCCAAAAACAGACGAAGAGACGAUGGCCUGCUGAGACAUGAUGGAGGUGCACCCAGAAGAGGAGAAACUGACCUCAGUGGACAGGAAACAUAAGGCGGCACAACAAAAAAAGGUCCCCAUAGAAGAUGCCAGUCAAAGGACCCAGAGAGUAGGGCUGCUCAAGAAGAAUUUAGACGUACGAUAAAGGAACAAAGGAUCGAUGCAGCAAGUGGCCGCUAUCCAGGAGGAAGAGGACAACCAUGGACGGCAUCCGGAAGUGGAGCCUGGGAGAGUGAGCACUUCUGGGAAGCGGAGAAACACUAAGGAAAAUCUUAUACGACAGCUGCGGUCCGAAAAACACGAAACAAAUGCCCAAGGCUUCCAGCAGGAUGCAGAGAAUCAUGGACUGGACCUUGUGGAGGGGUCGACCUCCAAGAAGGAAAAAGGGACUGCAAACAGAGUAGGAACUGGUAAUAUAGAAGCACUGGCCUCCCCAGCUAGAAUGAGUGAAAGAGAGGGUGAGAAAGAGAGUGAAUGAGCAGUUGUAGAACGGAAGAAAAGAAACACAAGACACACCUGGAACAUUUCAUGGACAUGACAAUGAACACAACGAGAAUGAGUCGUCCAGUGUAGCUGGUCAUUCCUUUGUACUGAUCAGGGUGGGGAGGAUGUUGAGAAUCGUGGACUCAGCGUGAUGUGAUAACACACCUGUUGCCAGUAAUGUUGCCCACGGUGAUGUAACAGCAUAGGAGCCGCUGCCUUUGCUAGGUAACAGGCCAGUAAACACUCCACCCCCCUGCUGUGACAUAACAGCGGACACUGCUGCUACUAGGGGCAACAGGGAACAGUAUAGUAUAAGAAGCCAGCUGAGCAGUGUGCGCCGACAGAAGACAGUGUGUGUUGUGCCGAGACAGAGAGCCGUGGAAGCUGCCAGUCAGUGUACAAUGGUGCGUCGACAGAAGACAGUGGAAGCCGCGCAAAGAGCAGAACAGUUCUACAGUAUAGUGACAACCCUUGAUGUCUUGUUCCAUGACAGCAAGCAAGUACAGCUGAGAAGUCAAAAGAAAGCUUAGAAUACAUCACCCAAAUAUGAACAGAAAACAGUUUCCACCAUCUGGACAUACAAACACAUAUUUGAACCAGCUGCUACGGCUGACUUGGUGCUGCUCUACUCCAGUCUGAAUCACAAUACUGGCCAGAUUUAGUGCAAGCACACAUGUAGAAGUCAACAACUGCUAGUGUCACACUUCUGUAUCACAAACCUCUUUACCCUAUAUAUGCCUAUGCCACAAUGCUGGCCCUUUUGCUUUUGUUACACUUUGGUUUCCUGUGUUCAGGGAAUGUUAAAUAUAUUGAAUAAACCUAAUUUGACAGAUUUUUACAAGUUUUGAUUUAAGUAUAAAAAGUGAAGGCCAUCAUCUGUAGCUGGAGCACGGUAAAGAAACUACAAUCUUCAUGGAAGUAGUAUCCAUAAACCAAAGCUUUCAUGUGGAAGAAAAGGACUGUAUGAUUACAAUCAUCACAUAUAUCUCAGGAUAUUUUUAUUUACAGUGACUACCAAAACUCAUAUGAAGUGUAGAUGGGUCAAUGGACUGAUUACACACAACUGCAUGGAACUCUUCAUGUCCACCACUGUGACAACCUCAAAUUAUACAUAACAGCUUCACAUUAUAAGCCCUUGAAACAAUGACGUUCACAAAUGC